GGAAUUUCCGUAUGCUGGGGGUGCGGCCCUAAAAGGACAAAAGACAAAAACAAAACAAAACAAAACCAGAAAAAACAAACCUACAAUUUGACUUUUGUUCUCCUACUCUUCCUUUAACUUUUCCUGCCUCCAGAUGAAAACUCUGGCAGGCCCCUUACUUUUCGGUUCCUCUUAGAUAAUAUGCAGUGCGAUGGUCACUUUAAGGUCACACAUGCAGUAUCAAUUCAGAAACAGAAUAUCCAGUUUGUACCAAGAGAUUCCAAAGAGCACAAUAUCAUUUCCACUCCGCUAGCUCAGGACACUUUUAGAUUAAUGCCUCCAAUGCAAAAGGGCAGGACAUGGUUGACUUUUCCUCCCUAAUCACUUCUGGCUCAAUUCCAUGCCCCCUCCGCCCCCAAUCUUAGCCAAGGUGGCAGAUGGGCGGGCAGUGGAGGAUAGGUAAGGACGAGAGGCUUAAUGCUUUCUAGACCUAGCAGAUGUUUAAAGCUGGUGUUUCUGGUGAGCCCGACAGAUGGUUAAAGCUGAUGCUUCCCUGCUUGGCCACAUCCAUGGCAGGUGGAAGUUCCCAGACCAGGGAUCAAACCUGUGUCACAGCUGUAACCAGAGCAGUAACAGUGUCAGAUUCUUAACCCACUGAGCCAUGAGGGAACUCCUGAGCCCAUCUAUGUUUCUAUAUGUAGGUGGCCACUUGCACUCCUUCUUCCACCCCUGGCCAUCCAGAAGUUCCCCUCCAGCCCAAGACAACUCUAAGACAACUUUCUUUCCACCCUCUGGCCCUCAGGAAACCUGUGGUGAGGGGCAAUCCCAAGGUGACAGCUCUUUCUGGCUCACUGCCAAUGUCUCUCAUGGGCCCUGCACCCUCUAGACUGGCAGGCAGAGUCAGGCCCCGUCCCCAGAGGCUUGAGUUUUCUCUAAGUCUGGAUUCACCAGACUGCAGGAGAUGCUGCAAGUCUUUCUACUGAGGCCACCUUCCUGGGGUCUUGGGGUCAGAGGACACCCAAGGAACUGGGAGCCCAGCAACAGCGCUCUACAAGGACACAUUUCUAUCUUUUUCCUUCCUCUGACUCCUUUAUAUCUGGGGCCUGGCUGAGAGGCUGGUUGUGAGGCAGAUUCUCCUUUACUCUUCUUGUAAAUUCUGCCUAUGCAGGGUCUGCCUCACACUCACCUGGGAAUCUUGGUAUCCAGUAUAUUUGUGCCCUAAUAGAAACUAAGGCAGAAAAAGUCUUAUUCUAGUAUCCUAUUACACCUGUAAUGAUGUCAGAUUGUGCAGAAGAUGAAGAGAACUAAAAAUCAACCACAAUUCUGGCACCCAGAGAUACCUAUUAACAUUUUGGAAUCAACAAAAUGUUAUUUCUUUCUGAUACUUUUCUCCAGGUAUUUUUUUCCUUCCUUCCCAUUUAAAAAAUGGGAUCAUACUAGACAUACCACUUAACCCAAGUCAACUACACAAAGUACAUUUUAAUCACGGUAACAUUUAAAAUUAUAUUGAUUUCUACCUUCCCUUGCUCUGAAUAUUUUGUUUUUUGUUGUUUUUGGCCAUGCCCACCACAUGCAGAAAUUCUCCAGCCAGGGAUUGAACCUGUGUCACAGCAGCGACCUGAGCCACUGCAGUGACAAUGCCAGAUCCUUAACCCACUAGGCCACCAGGGAACUCCAAUAUUUUGUUAUUUCCAAUGUUAUUAUUAGCAGUAACAUUAUUACUAUGAAUAUCUUCUCGUAUAAACUUUUAAAAAAGGAUUAUUUCCUUGGUAGUUAAGGGUUGAAUAACUAGCCUGCAACAGAUAUUUUGAAGGUAAAAUCAGCAUAGUUGAUGUGCUGAGUGAUUAGGUUUCCAAGUCGGAAGGAAGGUGCAGGAAAACAGAAAGCAUGACGGAAGGUCACUCUGUUGAGGUGAAGUGAACUGCUUUCAGAGGGGUUGAGUUUGAGGGUCCAGAGGCUACUGAGGUAGAAAUGCUCAGCUGCAAAUGGGGAACUGGAAGGAAAGCAGGAGCAGAGUUGGCUCUUUCCUCUGAGAAGUCUGGGAAGCACAAUUUGUCAGGCUGGAAGUCUGAAGGUAUUUGUAGUUAUAUGGGGGAAGUGAGCCGUGGAAAGGGAUUAACUGAGGGAACAAGUUCCCAUGUCAGCAAGAAGGGAUAGCAUAGAGGCAGGUAGAAAAAGUAACCUAGAAAAGAAAAGGGAGAAAGGGGUGAGGCUAGGAAAGUUGUUGGAAAGGGCGAAAACUGCUGAAGAGGUUCACAACAGAUGCCUUUUAGUUCCUGCUUAAGUCAUCUGCUGAGAGUGAGAGUGGCAAGAUUAUGACUCAGCACUUAGAAUCACCAGUGUUCUAUUAUUACUUGUAAUUAACCUUGGAGCUCAUUUGAGGCUACUCAAAAUUCUACUCCAAAUAGGGCCUGCGGCAUUGGCAUCACUAGGCACACCAGACCUGAAUCAGAAUCAGCACUUUAAAUUAGAUCUCAUGUCUGGUAGAGUCUGAGACGCACUGCGGUCGCCACCUUCCCUAAUGAACAGAAAAAGACACGGAGGCUGCAGAGACAAGUGAUUUUUCAAGUUACGAUAGCAAAGAUUGGGAGAGCUCCUUCAGGAAGUUAAUGGGAAUUCAUUGAAAGGGGAAACAAAAAGACCUUCAAAGGGGAGUGUAAUUUCAGCAGUGUAAUCUCAUGACUUUCCUAGCAAGACUAUGGUGACAGGACAGGAGGAAGCGGCAUGGUCUGGGGCCACUCAAAGUUAGGCUUAGAACAGAUAUGAUGGACACCGCAGGAGGUAAAAUGCGUGGAAGGAAUCUGAAGUGUUACUGAAAUGGUUUAAGGGGAGGAUGGGAAGAGGAAGAAGGCAAGAGAAGCCAGAUGGGGAUGGACAAGAGAGGCCUCCAGGAGUUGGAGAUCAGAGGGCCUAACUUGGAAAAGACCCAUUUCUUCAAGGAUUUGAGGACUCCUGCCAGAACAGGACUGCAUGCCAAAGGACACAAGCCUUAAUUUGAGCCAUCAGCUAUCAUCAGGGUGACAGCUUCCUGGAACACAAAUGUCCUUUUGAACACAAGGAAGCCUUGAGGACUAGUUGGUGAGUAUACAACUACACGAGUCUAUAAUUUACAGCAAUGCCCUAGCUUAACCUGACUGCCUCAUUUUACAAAUUUAUGAUGUUUGGAAUACAAGCGGAAGAAGUGGUAGAAGACUAUGAGAACAAGAAAUUUUUCAUUUUCUCUCAGAUGGGGAAAAAUAUAUUACAAAAGAGUUUACAGAGAAUGAAUAACCCUUAAAAAUUAUAUAUGUGUGUGAGUGUGUGUGUGAUAUAUAUAUCAGGAGCAUAUAUGUCUGAAAACUUGAUAGCAUUAGAUUACUCAGCUUUGGAACAAAGGAUAGAAAAAAAUGAAACUUUGGAUUCUAGGACAAGGUCCCUGAAAGGAGGAAGAAAAUACAAAUUGACUGAUUGAGUUAAUUUACUUAUUUUGGACUGUGCCUGUGGCACAGCUAAGUUCCCGGGACAGGGGUUGAACCUGUGUCAUGGCAGUGACCCAAGCUGCUGCAGUGACAAUGCCGGGUCUUUAACCUGCUGCUGCAAGGGAACUCCAGGAAUGAUUUAUUUUUAAACAAUUACUAAUAUAGGACAAUUGAAGCAAUGAAUCUGGGUGAGGGACUUACCUUUUGGACGACCUGCCAUGAUGACUUCCACCAAAGAACCUGUCUCGUUGAGGUGGAGGCCCCAUAAUAUCCUCCCAAACCAGGACGCCACUCUGCCCCAGAGAGCAAAGGAAGGGCAGAACUGUCUGAGAAUUCCACCGUCAGGGAAUUCAGGACACUGACAUUCUCAGUUCUGACGCAGUCAUAGAAGGCACAAGAAACCUGUUUUAGUAAUGGACGUUCACUAUUUUAGAUGUGAACUAAACUUGACGUGUAGGAAUGUCCUACCAGCUGAGAGUGGCAGGGCAAUCUGAACUGGUCUCCUUAAAAUGAGUUAAUGUCUCUACCAUAAUAAAAAUUGUGAUGUCUCAAGUAUUUGCUUCUUGGGCUGGAUUUUAACUAACGCCAAAGAGAUUUAUCACUUAACACUAAAUCAACUUUCCUCAGAAGCUACCAAAAACCCUUCACAUGACAGUUUUAUUUACCAUAAAUUACUAUGGUUAUUUUAAUAACUUAAUCCAUUAGAUAAGAGUGUACUUCUGAGAGUACUGUGGUAGUAAAACAGACUAUUUUUAGCUGCUAUCAGUGACUAGAUAAUUGUCUUCCUGUUUAUUUCACUUCCCAGUUGAAAGCAAGUUGUGUACGUACAAUUUCUGGAAGCAUCUAGUCAGAUCAGAUAUUGCCAAUAGAGAACAAACUUGGGGAGAAAAGGCUUCGAGGACUCUUGGAACACCAUAAUACAGACAUGCUAAGAGAAAAUCAAAGAUUAUUUCUCAAGAUCUACUGCA